CAGUUUGAUCCUGGCUCAGAUCGAACGCUGGCGGCAUGCCUAACACAUGCAAGUCCAACGGCAGCACCGUGUGUAGAAAUACAUAUGGGUGGCGAGUGGCGGA
rnacentral:rRNA from 1 species